rnacentral:lncRNA from 1 species
CCCAGAGAUGACAGAGGGGAGAGCUCAGGCCUGCCUGAAGGCAGAUGUCUGGUCAGUCCCUGUGCUAACCUAAGUGCUGCUGACCUGGGGCAGCCAGCCAUCUGCAAAAUGAGACCAGAUGGCCCGGGAGAAUUCUGCCUGGGGUGGGGAGCUGACUUGCUCUCAGCAAGCACCACAGAGAAGACUGUGGUGUGUCCGGGUGGCCAGGCUGCCUGUCGUGGGUGCGGCCAUUUCUCCAGAAGAGACCUGGGGGCUUACAUGACCUGUUUUUCUCCCAGACAGCACUCUGCUUCUCUCUCACCCCUGACCAUACACGUCUCCUACGUCUCACUAAGUAAUGACCCCAGAGACAGUGCUGCUGCCUCUGUGUGCACACACACACACACACCACACAGACUCACACACACAAGGGCACAUGCACACAGGCACACACACAUACACACAUGCACACACAAGGGCACGUUCACACGCACACACACCAUACACACACAGGCACACACAUAUAUAUACAUGUACACACAAGGGGACAUACAUGCACACACAAGAGCACACACACGCGGGCACACACAUACAAGGGCACAUACAUGCACACCUAUACAAGGGCACACACACACAGGCACACACACACACACACAAGGGCACAUACAUGCACACCUACACACACAAGGGCACACAGGCACGCACACACGCACACAGGCACACCCCGGACAGACCUCCACCAGCACUUCCAUACCCUGGAUUCCAAGCCUGCCAGCCUCCUCCACCCGCUGGGCAAGUCACACACCCACCCCCACCCCUGCCCUCUGGCUGUGUGCUCUGCCUGGAGUGAGGAAAGUCUUGGAGCCAGACACUGAGAGCUUCCUGCUCUGGCCUCCCCACAGGUCAUUACUGCCCAUCAGGGACGCCCUCUCCUCAUCCCUGCCCAGAGGGGACCCUGAAUCCACGGGAAGGUGCUCUCUCCUCCAGGGCCUGCCAGCCCUGCCCUGCAGGGACGUACUGCCCUGGGGAGGGCAACGGGCA